rnacentral:rRNA from 1 species
GACAAAAAUGUUAAAUAGCCGCGGUAUUUUGACCGUGCAAAGGUAGCAUAAUCAUUAGUUUUUUAAUUGAAAACUUGUAUGAAUGGUUGGACAAAGAAAAAGCUGUCUCUUUUAUUUAAAUUGAAAUUAACUUCUAAGUGAAAAGGCUUAGAUUUUUUAGAGGGACGAUAAGACCCUAUAAAGCUUUAUAAGUUAAGUAAGUUAAAUUAAUUUUUUAAAAUAAAAAUAAGCUUAAAAAAUUUAUUUGGUUGGGGCGACAAUGGUAUAAAUUAAAUAACUGCUAUUAAAAUUAAGCAAUUAUAUUUGAUUAGAAUUAUAAUUGAUCCUUAUUAUGGAUUAAAAGAUCAAGUUACUUUAGGGAUAACAGCGUAAUUUCUUUUGAGAGUUCUUAUCAAAGAAGAAGUUUGCGACCUCGAUGUUGAAUUAAAAUGUCUUUAUAGUGCAGAAGCUAUAAAAGAAGGUCUGUUCGACCUUUAAUUUUUUACAUGAUCUGAGUUCAGACCGGA